GUCCGCGGAUAAUAUGGGCUUGAC
rnacentral:siRNA from 1 species